UCUUUUAAGUGUGUGCCAGCAGCCGCGGUAAUACGUAUGGUGCAAGCGUUAUCCGGAUUUACUGGGUGUAAAGGGUGAGUAGGCGGUCAUGCAAGUCAUAUGUGAAAUGUCAGGGCUUAACCUUGGCGCUGCAUAAGAAACUGUAUGACUAGAGUGCAGGAGAGGUAAGCGGAAUUCCUAGUGUAGCGGUGAAAUGCGUAGAUAUUAGGAAGAACACCGGUGGCGAAGGCGGCUUACUGGACUGUUACUGACGCUGAGUCACGAAAGCGUGGGGAGCAAACAGG
rnacentral:rRNA from 1 species